UGCACCACCCCCACCCCAUUCCUAAGUGAAAAUCUCUUCAUUUUUUUUUUCUCCCCCUCCACCCCACGUCAAAACAGGGGCUGGGGAGCCCCAACGUCGGAGGGAGGGGUUUGCCCAGCUCAGGUGGAGGUGCCAGAAGGUGGGCACAAGCCAAGAGGGGGCACUGGAAGCCUGUUCGAGGGACACCAAGCAGUCUUCACUCAAGCACACCAGGAUAUAGUCUGCCUGGCACUGUAUCAGGAAUGGGGCAUGGCUCCCAUUCCAUAUCAUCUUUUGGUGGGGGUGGGGCGUGGGUUGGGAUGGAGCGGGAAUGCUUUGAACGUUUGCUUGAUCCUCCCCAUAUCCAGAUAUUGUCCCUUUUUUGUGUGUGUUGCAGAUGUUAAGGGGGUCUCUGAGCUGGCUGGGUUUGUUCCCCCUGGUUGCCUCUGGAACGUUGCGCCAGCUCAUGCGAGUGCGGUGUGCCCCGGGAAUGUCAUCCGGAGUAUGUGGGGGGGAGGGGGGGGGGCGGAGAUUGGGGUGUUUUCCUGGAGACGCUGGGUCUGAAUCUCCCCAUGAAGGGAGACCACAACACCCACGCAGUCCGCGGAGACCUCACCCACCUUUCGCACCCUUCGCUUCUUCACCUCUCUCUCUCUCUCUCUCGAGAAGAUGCUCAGUGUGCUGGGUUUUUUUUGGGGGGGGUUUGGUUGAGAGAUGUCUGAUUUGCUUUUUGAAGUGGACCGAGUGAUUUUUGCCAGUCCCAGUAUUGGCUCUCUAAUGCCCAGACAGGAGUCAAACUGGUCUUUGUGAUGCCGUUAAACUCUGGAGCCUCGGGGACACGCUGAGGCGUGUUGGUAAUCUUGUUUAUAACUUUUAUUUUGUUUUGCGUGAGAGAGAGAGAGAGAGACUCCCUCUACCUGUAACCACUGGCCCCUCAGGAGUUUGUACCAUCUGAUCUUGAUCUCUUCCCACUGAAAGCCAUCAAUAAACCAUUCCUCUUCACCUCUCAAAGAGAACCGGUGUUUGAUCAAUUUAUUUUCUCGGGAACCAAAGUUGGAUCCUCUGGAAAUGGGCCAGCUACGUUGGGAACUGGAAAGCUCUCCCUGUCAGGAAUAUUGGCCGACAUAAUGGGCUGUUGGCAAAUCUGCUGAAGGCUUGGGGGUUCGGCCACUUGGGGAGUGGGGACUGCACUGCACGCACACAUCAUUUUGCCCUCUGGCAUAUUGUCUAGCUGCUGGUAAUGGACGUGUGGUCUCCAAUAACAAA